CUAGGAAUACCAAAGGAGAUCACACGGGACCGAAACAAGACAGGACUAGAAUGACCACAGGAACCCAGUAAAUCACCGCACUGCUCAGCUCUGGGAUAUGGUAGUCCUGGGAAUUGAACUCUUGGUGCAUCAGGAGCAGUUUCCUCCUCAGGCUCCCAU